rnacentral:lncRNA from 1 species
CAAAAUAAAUCAUUGUUGAAUAGUGUCGUUCAAAUAUAAAAUUAAUAAAAAAGACUUUGUAUAUAUUCGAACAGUAACGACAUGACCGAGUCUGAAAGAAAGAUAGAAGAUGGGGUAAGACACAAAAGGGACAGUCAAACGCAUAGAUCGAACAUAAACUGACAAUGCCAUGGCUAAAAAUAAAAAAAGACAAACAGACAAAUAAUGGUACACAAGACACAACAUAGACAACUAAAGACUAUGCAACACGAAUCCCACCAAAAACUAGG